rnacentral:piRNA from 1 species
GGGAAACUAACCAAGGAGAGAGG